rnacentral:rRNA from 1 species
GACGAACGCUGGCGGCGUGCUUAACACAUGCAAGUCGAACGAAGUGGCGAACGGGUGAGUAACGCGUAAUCAACCUGCCCUUCAGAGGGGGACACCAGUUGGAAACGACUGCUAAUACCGCAUACGGAAGGAGGGGAUUGCGUCGGAUUAGCUAGUUGGAGGGGGAACGGCCCACCAAGGCGAUGAUCAGUAGCCGGUCUGGUAGGAUGAACGGCCACAUUGGGACUGGGACACGGCCCAGACUCCUACGGGAGGCAGCAGUGGGGAAUCUUUCGAAAUGGACGAAAGUCUGACGGAGCAACGCCGCGUGAGUGAUGACGGCCUUCGGGUUGUAAAGCUCUGUUAAUCGGGACGCGGUACCGGAAUAGAAAGCCACGGCUAACUACGUGCCAGCAGCCGCGGUAAUUC